UCUACAUUUGAACAUUUUCAGAAAAAAAAAGUGAGGAGAUAAGAGGGUGGAAAUUUGUGAGCAAAGAUAAUGCCAGAAUGAACCAACACUUUCUACCUUCAAAAUGAAAAAGUGAUUUAACUUGGAUGACGGUUGCUUUGCAGGGGGAAUGUGAAUGGAAGGCGACCAUAUGAAUAUGAAGGGGCAGUCUGCUCUAAAUGCAAAGGCACCUGUGUUGAGAAUCUCUGCCGUAGCCAAGAACGAGAUUCACAGAAAAGUUACAACUGGACCCCAGACUGGGACCCUGCCCUGGCUACCGGUGGCUCCAACUAUGUGACUAUUUUGGUGGUCCGACCUAUUGCCCUAAUCUUCACCUUCCUCACAGCAUAUGCAAUCCGCCACUUUUAUCCUGAUGUCUUCUGCUAUGAAUAGACCACUGUGGCGACCUGACAGAUAGCCAAUGCUGAAAUGAAGAUGCGAGUUUAAUUAAACCUGCCUAUAGACAGCUUUUAUGCACCAUCAGAGCUGUAGAUAAACUGUCAAAAAGCACAUGUAUUUUACCCUCUAGCUUCUUUAUAUGUAUAUAUAUAUGUGUGUGUAUAUAUAUGUAUAUACAUAUACACACACACACACACACAGAUAGAUAGAUAGAUAGAUAGAUAGAUAGAUAGAUAGAUAGAUAGAUAGAUAGAUAGAUAGAUAGAUAGAGCCUCUUUUCUUUGUCAAAUGACACUUCAAGCUUCAGAUUUUCAAGGUAGAAAUGUGGGACUUUCACUCUGGAAAUAUCUCUAAAUACUUCAGUUUGUUUCUGUAUGCUGUCAGACAUGUCCACACCAAAAAAAAUCAAAGAAUAAAAACAUUGGCCUAACAAGUUAGUGUUUUUUACUUUUAAUGUAUAAGGGACACUGGUAAUUGAUUUUACACUUCUUCUGAAUAUAAUUUAAUUAAUUGUAUUUCCAUAAUGUUGCAUGUAUUUUAUAACACCUUACUCUGAAAACAGAACAUAGCCACACAUCCUUCCACUAACUUCAUAUAGCAGGAUAGCAACGGCUAACGAAAACUUCAUCGGCUGUUUCCAACAGAGAACCAGUAGGCUAUUAUUAGUGAGGAAAAUGAUGUACUAGCCCUGUGUAUACCUACUACUACAGCGCAAACACCGGCUCAGGCUCACGACACACCCUCGUCAGCUGCUGUAGGUAAACAGAGGAAUACCAAAAUGGUGCGAACUUGUAAUUUCCCCAGCUGUGGGAAUAAAAACAUCGCCGGCUCCCAAUUCCAUCGGUUUCCUGUUACAGAUGUAACCCGUAGGCAACUUUGGCUAACCCACCACCAGAACAAAGCAGAGACUGGUCAUAAUCACAUAUGAAUUCACAUUUCUAUGUGAUUGAUUACUCAUGUCAUGGAUUUAGCAGUUCGCCUAAUAAACUAAAUGCCGACGGUAAAACGAGGCCGCGUAUAAUGUACUCUCCACAGCACAACAGGCUAUUAGUUCAAUCAAACAUUUUGUUUUACAGACAAUCAGUUACAGACAUCGUUAUAUAGGCCUAGACUGUAUUAGGUAAUAUUAGGCGACAGAUGUGGGAGGCCUGGGGAUUUCUUGUCUCUCCUUUAUUUCAGGCAGCAGAAGCACGGGCCGCGGGGCGGCGGAGAGCAGCUGAGCUGACACCGAGCAGGCGGCGCGGACAGGAACGCUGAUGAGGAGCGCUGAUCAGAUGGCUGUCACGGCUGGAGGAGCACCUGGUCCACAGUUCGGGGAACAACUAGAGAGGAGCAAGUCGGUGGAACACGCACAACGGCCGCCGGGGCGACUGGAAUUGUCGCCGCACAGGGGGAAAAGUCCGCCCGCACGCCAGAGUGGCCAAGGAGACGCACGGUGCGAGAGGGGGAAGCCUUGGGUGACAGUGGAAGGGUGGGGAUGCGUUCCACCCUUCCUCCAGAUAACUACCAGCAGCCAGCGGUAUUGAGGCCUGCUGUCCAGAGGCUCAACAGCAGCUAUCAUCUGGAACCCAAACGGGCUGUGGGCUCUUUUAAAUGGACUUUUAAGAGUAUCUUUUUCUUAUUGACUUUUGUUAAAAAAAAAUAAUGUUUUUAGAGUAAAUCCUCUCUGGGUUUUGUUGUUUGCUGUGGUCGCCCCCCAACAGAAAAUUGUGGUUUUGCACCCUGUCACGGUCACUCCACUCUGUGACAUUGUUAGUUUUUGUAGAGCUUCUAUACACGGUCAUUUCUGAUAAAAAUAAACAUCUGUUAUUCCCACAGCAGGGAAAUUUGUGGUGUUCCAGCAGCAAAGGGUCCAGGUUGAAAAAUGCCAUGGACACCAUUUCAUUGAUGCUAUGAAAGUU